rnacentral:lncRNA from 1 species
CUCAGUUUCCUGUCUCACAUAAGGGGCCAAAGCCUGGGGUGAAGCUGUACGUCGGCAGCCCCAGCCCCAGAAAAGGAACCUACUCUCCAUGCACGUCUCUCUGGAGCAACCUGAAGACAGGAUCUUGGCCUCAGGACAGUUUUGCAGGCUGGGAAGUCCAAGAUAAAGCCACCAGCAUCUGACAAUGGCCUUCUUGCAACAUCCUCCAACAGAGAGGAACAACAUGUCCUCACAUGGCAGAAGAGCACAGAGGAAAAAGAAGACCAAACUCACUCUUUUAUAAGAGCAUUAAUCCCACAUAGGAAGGCAGAGCCCUCAUGGCCCU